UACGUAGGGUCCGAGCGUUGUCCGGAAUUAUUGGGCGUAAAGAGCUCGUAGGCGGUCUGUCACGUCGGCUGUGAAAACACGGGGCUCAACUCCGUGCCUGCAGUCGAUACGGGCAGACUAGAGUUCGGUAGGGGAGACUGGAAUUCCUGGUGUAGCGGUGAAAUGCGCAGAUAUCAGGAGGAACACCAGUGGCGAAGGCGGCUCACUGGACUGGUAUUGACGCUGAGGUGCGAAAGCGUGGGGAGCAAACAGG
rnacentral:rRNA from 1 species